rnacentral:rRNA from 1 species
AACGAACGCUGGCGGCAGGCCUAACACAUGCAAGUCGAACGCUCGUAGCAAUACGAGAGUGGCAGACGGGUGAGUAACACGUGGGAACCUUCCCUAUGGUUCGGAAUAGCUCAGGGAAACUUGAGGUAAUACCGGAUAAGCCCUUACGGGGAAAGAUUUAUCGCCAUUGGAUGGGCCCGCGUCGGAUUAGCUAGUUGGUGAGGUAACGGCUCACCAAGGCGACGAUCCGUAGCUGGCUGAGAGGAUGAUCAGCCACACUGGGACUGAGACACGGCCCAGACUCCUACGGGAGGCAGCAGUGGGGAAUAUUGGACAAUGGGCGCAAGCCUGAUCCAGCCAUGCCGCGUGAGUGACGAAGGCCUUAGGUUGUAAAGCUCUUUUGGCGGGAAGGAUAAUGACGGUACCCGCAGAAUAAGCUCCGGCU